ACACUCCUGCGGGAGGCAGCAGUGGGGAAUUUUGGACAAUGGGCGAAAGCCUGAUCCAGCCAUGCCGCGUGCAGGAUGAAGGCCUUCGGGUUGUAAACUGCUUUUGUACGGAACGAAACGGCCUUUUCUAAUAAAGAGGGCUAAUGACGGUACCGUAAGAAUAAGCACCGGCUAACUACGUGCCAGCAGCCGCGGUAAUACGUAGGGUGCAAGCGUUAAUCGGAAUUACUGGGCGUAAAGCGUGCGCAGGCGGUUAUGUAAGACAGUUGUGAAAUCCCCGGGCUCAACCUGGGAACUGCAUCUGUGACUGCAUAGCUAGAGUACGGUAGAGGGGGAUGGAAUUCCGCGUGUAGCAGUGAAAUGCGCAGAUAUGCGGAGGAACACCGAUGGCGAAGGCAAUCCCCUGGACCUGUACUGACGCUCAUGCACGAAAGCGUGGGGAGCAAACAGGAUUAGAAACCCCGGUAGUCCCAUGAU
rnacentral:rRNA from 1 species